rnacentral:rRNA from 1 species
UACGAAGGGGGCUAGCGUUGCUCGGAAUCACUGGGCGUAAAGGGCGCGCAGGCGGCUCAUUUUGUCAGGCGUGAAAGCCCCGGGCUUAACCUGGGAACUGCGUUUGAUACGGAUGGGCUAGAGUUCGGGAGAGGAGAGUGGAAUUCCCAGUGUAGAGGUGAAAUUCGUAGAUAUUGGGAAGAACACCGGUGGCGAAGGCGGCUCUCUGGACCGAGACUGACGCUGAGGCGCGAAAGCGUGGGGAGCAAACAGG